AACGCGAAGAACCUUACCUGGGUUUGACAUGUAGUGGACAGGGCAUGAAAGUGCCUCUUCUUUCGGGACCAUUACACAGGUGCUGCAUGGCUGUCGUCAGCUCGUGUCGUGAGAUGUUCGGUUAAGUCCGGCAACGAGCGCAACCCCUAUUGUUAGUUGCCAGCGGGUAAUGCCGGGGACUCUAGCAAGACAAACUCGUUUAGAGUGGGAAGGUGGGGAUGAUGUCAAGUCAGUAUGGCCCUUACAUCCGAGGCUGCAAACGUGCUACAAUGCCGAGUACAAUGGGAAGCAAUACCGCGAGGUGGAGCAAAUCCUCAAAGCUCGGCCCAGUUCAGAUUGGAGUCUGCAACUCGACUCCAUGAAGUCGGAAUCGCUAGUAAUGGUACAUCAGCUAUGGUACCGUGAAUACGUUCCCGGGCCUUGUACACACCGACGCAC
rnacentral:rRNA from 1 species